CAUGGCUCGGGAUGAACGCUGGCGGCGUGCCUAACACAUGCAAGUCGAACGGAGUCGUUUUGGAAAUCUCUUCGGAGAUGGAAUUCUCGACUUAGUGGCGGACGGGUGAGUAACGCGUGAGCAAUCUGCCUUUAAGAGGGGGAUAACAGUCGGAAACGGCUGCUAAUACCGCAUAAAGCAUCAAAUUCGCAUGUUUUUGAUGCCAAAGGAGCAAUCCGCUUUUAGAUGAGCUCGCGUCUGAUUAGCUGGUGGGGGGGGUAACGGCCCACCAAGGCGGCGAUCAGUAGCCGGACUGAGAGGUUGAACGGCCACAUUGGGACUGAGACACGGCCCAGACUCCUACGGGAGGCAGCAGUGGGGAAUAUUGCGCAAUGGGGGAAACCCUGACGCAGCAACGCCGCGUGAUUGAAGAAGGCCUUCGGGUUGUAAAGAUCUUUAAUCAGGGACGAAA
rnacentral:rRNA from 1 species